CACUAAGUAUAGGUUAUUCGUGGCUAAUAUUAUUGCAUGACACAUGUUUAAGCAAUUAAAUGAAGCAUUUAAACCUUGACAGCAAUUAAAUGAUACUAAUUUGGUCAAAGUUUCUUUGGAUAAAUACAUAGUUUGACCAAACCUUUUUCAUCCAUUUUCAAGGAAUAACAUGAAGCUUUUAGUUUUGCAAAUGUGCAUAUAUAUACAUAACGUGGAAAU
rnacentral:lncRNA from 1 species